GAUGAACGCUGGCGGCGUGCUUAACACAUGCAAGUCGAACGGAAAGGCCCUGCUUGCAGGGUACUCGAGUGGCGAACGGGGGAGUAAAAUGCGUGUGAUCUGCUCUGUACGUUGGGAUAAGCCUGGGAAACUGGGUCUAAUACCGAAUAUGGCAAUUGUUUGGAUGCGAUGGUGGAAAGCUUUUGCGGUGUGGGAUGAGCUCGCGGCGUAUAAGCUUGUUUGUGGGGUAAUGGACUAUCAAGACGUCGAGGGGUAGCCGGCCUGCGAGGGUGUACGGACAGACCGGGACUCUGAUGCAGGCCAGAGUCGUACGUGUGGGAGAAGUGGGGAAUAUUUGACACAGCGAGCAAGCCUGAUGCAGCGAGGCCUUCUGGGUGAUGACCGCUUUUGGGUUGUAAGAACCUUUCGCAACCGACGAAGUCUUUUGGUGACGGUAGGUGGAGAAGAAGCACCGGCUAACUACGUG
rnacentral:rRNA from 1 species